rnacentral:rRNA from 1 species
UACGUAGGGUGCGAGCGUUAAUCGGAAUUACUGGGCGUAAAGCGUGCGCAGGCGGUGAUGUAAGACCGAUGUGAAAUCCCCGGGCUUAACCUGGGAACUGCAUUGGUGACUGCAUUGCUGGAGUAUGGCAGAGGGGGGGUGGAAUUCCACGUGUAGCAGUGAAAUGCGUAGAGAUGUGGAGGAACACCGAGUGGAGCGAAG